GAUGAACGCUGGCGGCGUGCCUAACACAUGCAAGUCGAACGAACAGACCAUGAGCUUACUCCUUUGACGUUAGCGGCGGACGGGUGUGUCACACGUGUAUCACCUACCUAUAUUUCGGGGAUCAUUUCGGAAAACCGGCUCUUAUACCGGAUAAUAUCUUGAACCGCAUGGUGCAAUAGUGAAUGUCGGCUUUGCUGGCACUUAUAGAUGGUUCCGGGCCGCAUUAGCUAGUUGGUAAGUUAACGGCUUACCAAGGCAACGAUGCGUAGCCGACGUGACAGGGUGAUAGGCCACACUGGAACUGAGACACGGUCCAGACUCCUACGGGAGGCAGCAGUAGGGAAUCGUACGCAAUGGGCGAAAGCCUGACGGAGCAACGCCGCGUGAGUGAUGAAGGUCUUCGGAUCGUAAAGCUCUGUUAUGGGGGAAGAACAAAUGUGGAAGUAAACAAGGAGGUCGUGACGGUACCUAAUCAAAAAGCAACGGCUAACUACGUG
rnacentral:rRNA from 1 species